rnacentral:rRNA from 1 species
GUAACACGUGGACAACCUACCCUCCGGACGGGUAUAAACCCGGGAAACUGGGUAUAAUCCCCGAUAGAUCUCGGUCGCUGGAAUGCCCCGAGAUCGAAAGCUCCGGCGCCAGAGGAUGGGUCUGCGGCCUAUCAGGUAGUAGUGGGUGUAGCGUACCUACUAGCCUACGACGGGUACGGGUUGUGAGAGCAAGAGCCCGGAGAUGGAUUCUGAGACACGAAUCCAGGCCCUACGGGGUGCAGCAGGCGCGAAACUUUACAAUGCCGGCAACGGCGAUAAGGGGACCUCGAGUGCCAGGUUACAAAUCUGGCUGUCGUGAUGCCUAAAAGCAUUGCAUAGCAGGGCCGGGCAAG